rnacentral:ncRNA from 1 species
AUAGUAAUUGAUUUUGUUACUGUAGUUAAAGUUAUUUUUUGUUAAACAUGUAAAUAUUUGUGUGUUAUUAAGUUUUAUUAAAUAUAUAUUUAAUAGUUUUCAGUUUUUAAUAUUAUUUAUUUAUUAAUAUAAAUUAUAGCUAAUUUUAUAGUAUUAUCAAAUUUUAGUGCCAGCAGUUGCGGUUACACUAAUAAUACAACUUUAACUAUUUCGGCUAGGUAUUAAUUUUAAUUUUUUUAUUUUAAAUUAAUAUUAUUAAGUGAAAUUUUAUUAUUAUAAUAAAAUAUAGGUUUAUUAAAUAUUAAAUAUAUAAAGAGACUAGGAUUAGAUACCCUAUUAUUUGUAUUAAAUAUAUAGCCUUAUAAUUAUAAGUUAAAUCUUUAAAAUAAAAAAAUUUGGCGGUAAUUGUUAAUUGUUUAGAGGAACCUGUUUAUUAAUCGAUAAACCACGAUUAAUUUUACUUUAAUUAAUUUUUAUAUAUCGUUAUCAUUGAAUAAUCAAUGAGGAUAAUUUCUUAAAUUAUUUUUUACAAAAUGUUAGAUCAAGAUGUAGAAUAUUAAAGAAUAUAAUGGGUUACAUUAAAUUUCAUUUUGGAUAUAAAUACUUGACUGUUUAUUAAAAUUGGAUUUAAUUGUAAUAUUAUAUAUAUAUAUAAUAUGAAAUUAUUAUAAUUAUGCACAUAUCGCCCGUCAUUCUCAUACAUUGGGACAAGUCGUAACAAAGUAGGGUUACUGGAAAGUGAUCCUGGUAAGAU